rnacentral:rRNA from 1 species
CACGUAGGGCGCAAGCGUUGUCCGGAAUUAUUGGGCGUAAAGAGCUCGUAGGCGGUCUGUUACGUCUGCUGUGAAAGCCCAGGGCUCAACCCUGGAAGUGCACAUGAUACUACGUGGCUGGAGUACUGAAGAGGAGAGCGGAAUUCCCGGUGUAGAGGUGAAAUUCGUAGAUAUCGGGAGGAACACCAGUGGCGAAGGCGGCUCUCUGGGCAGAUACUGACGCUGAGACGCGAAAGCGUGGGUAGCAAACAGG